rnacentral:rRNA from 1 species
AUUGAACGCUGGCGGCAUGCCUUACACAUGCAAGUCGAACGGCAGCGCGGGGCAACCUGGCGGCGAGUGGCGAACGGGUGAGUAAAAUAUCGGAACAUACCCUAGAGUGGGGGAUAACGUAGCGAAAGUUACGCUAAUACCGCAUACGCACUAAGGUGGAAAGUGGGGGAUCUUCGGACCUCAUGCUCAUGGAGUGGCCGAUAUCUGAUUAGCUAGUUGGUGAGGUAAAGGCUCACCAAGGCGACGAUCAGUAGCUGGUUUGAGAGAACGACCAGCCACACUGGAACUGAGACACGGUCCAGACUCCUACGGGAGGCAGCAGUGGGGAAUUUUGGACAAUGGGGGGCAACCCUGAUCCAGCAAUGCCGCGUGAGUGAAGAAGGCCU